CAUUCAAACCUGCCAAUUAUUUUUUUUAAAAAAUUAUUUAAAUUUAAACUAAAUAGAAUUAAUUUUUAUUAUUUAAUUAAAAUAAAUAUAAAAAUAAUGAAGGUGUCAUAAAUGCAACUAUCUUCUAAAUUACAUUUUUUUUUAAAAAUAAAUAACAUUGAAAACUAAAUAAUGUUUUAAUGGAAAAAAUAAACUUAUUUGGGGCCAAGCAUGGUGGGACGGAUUGGGGUGCAGAUCAAUCUUUUACCGUCUCCUACCCCGAAUUUGUCUCUGAUCAUAAAAAUGUCCUGCUUCCUAUUCCAAAAUUCGAUUCGUUUAUUACCUCCUACUUGCUGCUCCAUUUAAGAUGUAUUGGGACGAAAGCUCCACCAAUCCGGAUCCAUUUGCAUUCCUAAGUAGUCUUAAAUUGAAAAUCAUGGAUAAAAUUUUGUACAUUGCUUAGUACUCUUUCAAUUCUAGGGUAAUGGAUUGGUUUGAAGGUUGAGCCUUUCCUUUUAAGUUUAUUUUAGCAGGUUUUAAGAGAUAAAAAAAUAAUGACAAAUUUAAGACAAAAUUUUGCAUUAACUUUGUUAUUUACAAGAUUCUUGGAGACUUUUAAUUUUUUAAUUUUUUGCUAGCUUUGUAUUGUGAACUGUGUAUGCUAAAUUAUAGAAAUGUGCUUAGAACGCGAUUCUCCGUUAUA
rnacentral:lncRNA from 1 species